UCCACUCUCCUCAGGCAAGGUCCUCUGUGUGCACUCCAUGUGCCUGUGACUGUUUUAACAUUUCCUGUGGCUUUGGAACCCAGGAGUCCCUGGAGAGUGUGAAGUGGAAGAUGCCUUCUACUUUGUCGACAGGUUUCCUGAACUUCUCCCAUACAAUGGACCUGAGGAGCGUGACAAACUGAGUGAGUUAGUUUCUGGACUACCAGGCCAUGGACAUUGCCAUGCCUGAAGACCCAGCAAUGUUUGACUUUGAGAGCUUUUGGGGAAACAUGGCAUCAAUGAAGAAUAAGGUGACCAGUAUGACCAGAUCUGACAGGCUGUCUCGUAUUGCCAAGUUGGUCUUGGUACUUCCUCAUUCAAAUGCUGAUGCAGAAUGAGUUUUCUCUGUGGUUGGACUGAACAAAACCAAAACCUGAAACAGUUUGGCUCUUGAGGGAACUCUAUGAUCCAUCAUGACAGUGAAUAUGACGAGCCUUGAGCCACAUUUUUUUAAGUGGGAGUCCCCUGCCUCAGGCAUCAAGGCAUCAAAAUCUGUGACAAACACCUACAACGUGAGACAUGUCCGCAGCUAAAUGAUGGAAAGUUGGUUGAAAUUAAAUAUUGAUAAAUAAAUGUAUUUUGUCAAAA